rnacentral:tRNA from 1 species
GCACCCGUAGCUCAAUUGGAUAGAGUAGCGGUCUUCGAAGCCGUUGGUUACUGGUUCGACUCCAGUCGGGUGCACCA